CAGGCUUCAUUUAUGACGUCACACAAGUGUAUGAUUACACGUUCGUGUCCGGAGCUUUCAGGAAAAGAGGCUCCAAAAUUUGGGUCUUUCCUGCCCUCUGAUGACAUACAGCUAAGAAAAAACACACGACCCCGGGAGUUGUCUGCCCUUCACCAGUGCGGUCGUGUUCACGCUGACUCCCGAAGAACUGGAAAAUCAAAUCCAACAAUACCGGACAUUAUCCAGCCUCAUGUAAGAAUGUCGAGUUUUGAUUGGUUCA